AUUGAACGCUGGCGGCAGGCCUAACACAUGCAAGUCGAGCGAGCGGCGGACGGGUGAGUAAUGUAUGGGAAACUGCCUGAUGGAGGGGGAUAACUACUGGAAACGGUAGCUAAUACCGCAUACCAUCAGAUGUGCCCAGAUGGGAUUAGCUAGUAGGUGGGGUAACGGCUCACCUAGGCGACGAUCCCUAGCUGGUCUGAGAGGAGGACCAGCCACACUGGGACGGAGACACGGUCCAGACUCCUACGGGAGGCAGCAGUGGGGAAUAUUGCACGAUGGGCGCAAGCCUGAUGUAGCCAUGCCGCGUGUAUGAAGAAGGCCUUAGGGUUGUAAAGGACUUUCAGCGGUGAGGCGUUACCCGCAGAAGAAGCACCGGCUAACUCCGUGCCAGCCGCCGCGGUAAUUC
rnacentral:rRNA from 1 species